rnacentral:rRNA from 1 species
UACGAAGGGUGCAAGCGUUAAUCGGAAUUACUGGGCGUAAAGGGUGCGUAGGCGGUUCGUUAAGUCUGUCGUGAAAUCCCCGGGCUCAACCUGGGAAUGGCGAUGGAUACUGGCGAGCUAGAGUGUGUCAGAGGAUGGUGGAAUUCCCGGUGUAGCGGUGAAGUGCGUAGAGAUCGGGAGGAACAUCAGUGGCGAAGGCGGCCUUCUGGACCAAUACUGACGCUGAAGCACGAAAGCGUGGGGAGCAAACAGG